ensembl:misc_RNA
UCCAUAGUCCUAGUGACUGACCACCACAGCCUUCCAUAGAAUAGACACAGCAUGCACAGUGGCAAUGCAAUUUCCCCCAUAGUGAGCCAGUCAAUGUGCCUCAACCCUGACAUGGAAGGACCACCCCUGGGGAUGGGAGACUUUUUCAAUCCCUCUGUGCCCAUUUGAAAUCCUUGGCCUCU